rnacentral:rRNA from 1 species
CCCUUAGAUGUCCGGGGCUGCACGCGCGCUACACUGAAGGAAUCAGCGUGCUAAAACCAUUGUCGAAAGGCAUUGGUAAACCCAUUAAAAUCCUACGUGAUUGGGAUCGGGAAUUGCAAUUAUUUCCCUUGAACGAGAAAUUCCCAGUAAGUGUGGGUCAUAAGCUCGCGUUGAUUACGUCCCUGCCCUUUGUACACACCGCCCGUCGCUGCCCGGGACUGAGCCGUUUCGAGAAAAGCGGGGACUGCUGCUGUCGGGGCUUUCGGGCCUUGGCUUCGGUGGAAACCGCUUUAAUCGCAGUGGCUUGAACCGGGCAAAAGUCGUAACA